UAAGGAAUAUUGGACAAUGGACGCAAGUCUGAUCCAGCCAUGCCGCGUGAAGGAUGAAUGCCCUCUGGGUUGUAAACUUCUUUUAUAGGGGAAGAAAGAUACUUUUUUUAAGGUAGUUGACGGUACCCUAUGAAUAAGCCCCGGCUAACUACGUGCCAGCAGCCGCGGUAAUACGUAGGGGGCAAGCGUUGUCCGGAUUUACUGGGUGUAGAGGGCGCGCAGGCGGGAUAAAAAGUCAGUGGUGAAAUCCUACAGCUUAACUGUAGAACUGCCUUUGAUACUUUUAUUCUUGAGUUCGGGAGAGAGAGACGGAAUUCCAGGUGUAGUGGUGAAAUACGUAGAUAUCUGGAAGAACACCAGUUGCGAAGGCGGUCUCUUGGUCCGACACUGACGCUGAGGCGCGAAAGCGUGGGGAGCAAACA
rnacentral:rRNA from 1 species